rnacentral:misc_RNA from 1 species
GAUGAAGAACGCAGCGAAAUGCGAUAAGUAAUGUGAAUUGCAGAAUUCAGUGAAUCAUCGAAUCUUUGAACGCACAUUGCGCCCCUUGGUAUUCCGAGGGGCAUGCCUGUUCGAGCGUCAUAUUAACCACUCCCGCUUGCGGUGUCUUGGGCUUCGCCUCCGGGCGGGCCUUAAAAUCAGUGGCGGUGCCGUCGGGCUCUACGCGUAGUAAAUUUUCUCGCGAUAGGGUCCCGGUGGAUGCUUGCCAACAACCCCCAACUUCUUAAGGUUGACCUCGGAUCAGGUAGGGAUACCCGCUGAACUUAAGCAUAUCAAUAAGCGGAGGA